CGGACGGGUGAGUAAUGCCUAGGAAUCUGCCUGGUAGUGGGGGACAACGUUUCGAAAGGAACGCUAAUACCGCAUACGUCCUACGGGAGAAAGCAGGGGACCUUCGGGCCUUGCGCUAUCAGAUGAGCCUAGGUCGGAUUAGCUAGUUGGUGAGGUAAUGGCUCACCAAGGCGACGAUCCGUAACUGGUCUGAGAGGAUGAUCAGUCACACUGGAACUGAGACACGGUCCAGACUCCUACGGGAGGCAGCAGGG
rnacentral:rRNA from 1 species